rnacentral:rRNA from 1 species
UUAAAUUGAAGAGUUUGAUCAUGGCUCAGAUUGAACGCUGGCGGCAGGCUUAACACAUGCAAGUCGAACGGUAACAUGAGUGCUUGCACUUGAUGACGAGUGGCGGACGGGUGAGUAAGGUAUGGGGAUCUGCCGAGUGGCGAGGGACAACAGUUGGAAACGACUGCUAAUACCUCAUAAAGUUGAGAAACCAAAGCAUGGGAUCUUCGGACCAUGUGCCAUUUGAUGAACCCAUAUGGGAUUAGCUAGUUGGUGGGGUAAAAGCUCACCAAGGCGACGAUCUCUAGCUGGUCUGAGAGGAUGACCAGCCACACUGGAACUGAGACACGGUCCAGACUCCUACGGGAGGCAGCAGUGGGGAAUAUUGCACAAUGGGGGAAACCCUGAUGCAGCCAUGCCGCGUGUAUGAAGAAGGCCUUCGGGUUGUAAAGUACUUUCGGUGAUGAGGAA